GUAAAGAGCAUGUAGGCGGCUUAAUAAGUCGAGCGUGAAAAUGCGGGGCUCAACCCCGUAUGGCGCUGGAAACUGUUAGGCUUGAGUGCAGGAGAGGAAAGGGGAAUUCCCAGUGUAGCGGUGAAAUGCGUAGAUAUUGGGAGGAACACCAGUGGCGAGGGCGCCUUUCUGGACUGUGUCUGACGCUGAGAUGCGAAAGCCAGGGUAGCGAACGGGAUUAGAUACCCCGGUAGUCCUGGCCGUAAACGAUGGGUACUAGGUGUAGGAGGUAUCGACCCCUUC
rnacentral:rRNA from 1 species